rnacentral:misc_RNA from 1 species
AACGCACGAGACCUGCGGACCUGCGGAGGGAUCAUUAAUGAGAAGCUGCCCCUCGUGGGUAGACCUCCCACCCUCUGUGAACUUACCUUUGUUGCUUUGGCAGGCCCGUCCUCUGGACCGCCGGCUUCGGCUGGCCCGUGCCUGCCAGAGGAUUCCAAACCCUGUCUGUCAGUGUUGUCUGAGUCUAUAUGAAAUCGUUAAAACUUUCAACUAUGGAUCUCUAGAUCGGAAGAGCACACG